GUCCGGGCCGACAGCCGCUACAAUGGCGGAGUCAACGAGUCAGACCUUCUGGCCUGAAAAGGUUGGGUAAACUGGUCAAUCACCGUCAUGUCAGGGAUCGGGGCUUGGAAUUGGGGCCCGUGAACGAGGAAUUCCUAAUUAGUUCAAGUCAUUAGCUUGCGCUGAUUACGUCCCUGCCCUUUGUACACACCGGCCGUCGCUACUACCGAUUGAAUGGUUAGGUAAGGUUCCUUGGAUCGGCACCAAUUAGCCAUCGGCCGAAAGGUGUCGUGGCUUAGCGGAGCUGAGAAGACGACCAAACUUGAUCAUUUAGAGGAAGGAAAAGUCGGAACAAGGUUUCCGGAUGGUGGAAA
rnacentral:rRNA from 1 species